GGGGAAUAUUGCACAAUGGGCGCAAGCCUGAUGCAGCCAUGCCGCGUGUGUGAAGAAGGCCUUCGGGUUGUAAAGCACUUUCAGCGAGGAGGAAGGCGUUAAGGUUAAUAACCUUAGCGAUUGACGUUACUCGCAGAAGAAGCACCGGCUAACUCCGUGCCAGCAGCCGCGGUAAUACGGAGGGUGCAAGCGUUAAUCGGAAUUACUGGG
rnacentral:rRNA from 1 species